GUGAGGAAUAUUGCGCAAUGGAGGCAACUCUGACGCAGCCAUGCCGCGUGCAGGAAGAAGGCGCUACGCGUUGUAAACUGCUUUUAACCGGGAAGAAACCCCAGGACGUGUCCUGGGUUGACGGUACCGGAGGAAUAAGCACCGGCUAACUUCGUGCCAGCAGCCGCGGUAAUACGAAGGGUGCAAGCGUUAUCCGGAUUCAUUGGGUUUAAAGGGUGCGUAGGCGGAGCGUUAAGUCAGUGGUGAAAUCCUGCAGCUUAACUGUAGACUUGCCAUUGAUACUGGCGCUCUUGAGUGCGCUUGAAGUGGGCGGAAUGUGCCGUGUAGCGGUGAAAUGCUUAGAUAUGGCACAGAACACCAAUUGCGAAGGCAGCUCACUAAGGCGAUACUGACGCUGAGGCACGAAAGCGUGGGGAUCGAACAGGAUUAGAUACCCGAGUAGUCA
rnacentral:rRNA from 1 species